GAAGUCUGAACCUGAAGGUAUUUAAGGAAUUUAGUUCUAAUCUCUCGUUCUCCCUCUGUUUAAACUUCUCAAUUUCUCAAACGAAUCCCAUCAAAACAAACCCUUACCCGUCCCGAUGGAUCGGAACCGCUUCCCGAUGCUCUCCUACGUCCUGGACCGGCUUCCCUCCUUGGGAUCCAAGCCAACCACCCCCGUCGUCUCCGACCUCAUGUCCAUCCACAUCGGCGAUCCAGCCGCUGCUCAAAGCGAGAUCGCUGACCGGAUGCCCCACCUCUCCGACCCGAAAGUCAUCGCCGCGAUGAGACGCGCCGUGGCCGACGUGGCUCAGGCCCGAUCCGUCCUCACCGAGCUCGGCGACCGACCCGAUCACGAGACCGUUGACUCCGCCAAGGCCAAGCUCGCCGUCAUCGAUGCCGGCCGUGCUGACGUGGCCGAGACGGAGCAGCGUGAAUCGGCGGGGAGAGAAGAGCAAGAGUGCAUGGCGAUCCUCCAGCUGGAGGAGUUGCACGUCGCCUACGAGAAGCUUCUCAAGGACGCCGAGGAGAGGCUCGUCAAGAUUUACCGGUCGGCGGAGGCCGGAGUGGUGGAGGAGGAGGAGGAGAAGGUGGAUGGCGUCAGCGACCAAGUCGAUGAGGAGGUCGUCCGGAUUCUGCAGCAGGCGUCGGCCGGGACAGGGCCGGACCGGGUCGACCUCUCGGAUCGAGGCUUGCGUUUCUUGCCCGAGGAGUUUGGCCGGAUCAGUGGAUUGCUUCAGCUUGAUCUUUCCAACAAUGAGCUGCAGGCCAUUCCUGAUACAAUAGCCGGAUUAGAGAAGCUAGAAGUGCUGAAUUUGUCUACCAAUCUCUUGGAGUCACUGCCCGAGACGAUUGGGCUGCUGCAAAAUUUGAAGCUCCUCACUGUCUCCGGCAACAAGCUAACUGCCCUUCCUGACUCUAUCUGCCACUGCAGGUCAUUGGUGGAGUUGGAUGUGAGUUUCAACCAGCUCACGUACUUGCCAACCAACAUUGGUUAUGAGUUGGUUAAUCUACAGAAGCUUUCGGUGCAGUUGAACAAAAUCCGUUCCUUUCCUACCUCUAUUUGUGAGUUGAGGUCUUUGCUGUCUUUGGAUGCUCACUUCAAUGAGCUACGUGGUCUUCCACUAGCUUUUGGCCGAUUGACUAGUCUCCAAAGUCUCAACCUUGCCAGUAAUUUUACUGAUCUCACUGAGCUCCCGGAUACUUUUGGUGAUCUAACCAAUCUCAAGGAACUUGAUCUCAGCAACAAUCAGCUUCAUGCUCUUCCAGAUACAUUUGGCCGCCUUGAAAAUCUGGUUAAACUUAACCUGGAUGGAAACCCUCUUGUGGUUCCGCCUCCUGAUGUAGUUCAACAAGGUGUUGAAGCCAUCAAGGUCUUUAUGAGCAAUAGGUGGUUAGAGUUACUGGCGGAAGAAGAAAAGAAAAGCAUGCUUCAAGUACAAGAACAGGAAGAAGCAGGAUGGUUGACACGCGGCACUUCUUGGGUGAAGGGUUAUGUUUCAGGUGUUUCUGAAUAUCUAUCCCCAAAAGCUCCCGAAGACCCUAUUCUUAAUCAGCAGCUAUGAUUUUAACUUUUAAGGAACAUAACACCUGAAGAGCCCAAGGAUGAUGCAGAUGGCUGGUGGAGAUUCUAGAAUUGAAGUCUCUGAGCGCUAUUUAGGCCUUUAUACUAUAAUAGAGUGAAACUUACCAGUUAAAAUUCCAAGCCUGGACUGAAUAUUUUAUUAGAGCAGUUGCUGAAUCUAUGGAAUUUUCCAUCUUCUGUCUUGAGUGAUUUCCAACUUCCUCUUGAUAUCUGCAAGGAAAUUUAUGAUUUUCUUGCUCGUUUCUGGUGGAUAAUUGGUUAGGAGAAUUUUGAAACCAAAAGCAUUCAUUGGAAAAAGUGAGUCCUAAAGUCAGCUCAAACUCUUAAUUUAUCUAUUUUAUGGGGUAAAACAAUUCUACAACUCAGUAGGCGAUGGUGUGUCGUAUUGGAAAAAUUCUAGUGCGUGACUGUUUAUGAGGACAAUUAGCUGGUUAAUCCUCACAAUUUUAACAUGUAGGCCCUUCCCAAUUUAGCAUUCCCAAGCAUUGGAUUGUACAAUGAGGUCAUUAUUCUUUUCAUUAGGUAACUGGGAUGCGGGGAAAGUUCAAGAUAACUUCAACACCGUUGGUUUUCUGUGACAGGCUUGAUAUGGUUACUUGGCUUUUACACUGCAGGGGAUGGUUAUUGGGUUGAUUUAUUGUAGAGUUCAUGAUAAUGCUGCUGGUACUAUUGGAAAUCCAAAGCUCUGGGACGCAUCAACACUUUUGGAACUAUCUUUGGAAGCACAGGUUGGCUCAAUGCUGCAUUCUCGUAUGUGACUUUCAUAAAUUGUGCAGCAUAAGUGAUUUUCUGGUUCUUGCUGGGCAGCAUCAUCAUUCCUUCAUGGUACUCCUACACUUUUAUUUGUUAAAGCCAAGCACUGUAGAUAAUGUGAAGCUAACAGUGGUUGUACGAUGGCUGGUCUAUGCUGAAGUAAUGAAGUUUUACAUGAUAUGGCGUCUCAGGCAGUAGUGUUGAUAAUUCGUAUGGAGACCAAGGCAAGCUUUCCUCUGGCAUUUCACAGGGCAUCUAGUAUUUUGAAAGCUACUGUUUCCAUCUUAGAAUCCAGAAUGUUCUGUUCAAUCUUUACUGUUUCAGUUUCCUUGUAAGCUGACAUUUGGUUUAGGACAUGACUUGUGUACAUGAGUUCUUGUGCUACCGCUACUUUCUUCUAUAUCACCACUACCAUUUUGUUGCCGUUUUGACGAGACUAGUUGCUAGUUUAGUAUCA